UAACCUGGUGGUUUUGUGGAGAUUCUGAUCCAGUAGGUCUUGGGCGAGGCCUCAGAGUCUACAUUUCUAUCAAUAGAGCAAGAAAACCCUUACGGUUUAUGUGCCAAACCUGCGUUUUACUGAUGAAGAAAUGCAGAUCCAGAAUCACCAGGGAAUUUUAGAUAAACUUCCUAGCUAAUUCUCAGGCAUAGUAAACCCUCAGAAACUUGUCCUACAGUUUGUCUGAGCC
rnacentral:lncRNA from 1 species